rnacentral:rRNA from 1 species
GAUGAACGCGGCGGCGUGCGUAAUACAUGCAAGUAGAACGCUGAAGCUUGGUGCUUGCACCGAGCGGGUGAGUUGCGAACGGGUGAGUAACGCGUAGGUAACCUGCCUCUUAGCGGGGGAUAACUAUUGGAAACGAUAGCUAAUACCGCAUAAAAGACGAUAUCGCAUGAUAUUGAUUUGAAAGGUGCAAUUGCAUCACUAAGAGAUGGACCUGCGUUGUAUUAGCUAGUUGGUGAGGUAACGGCUCACCAAGGCGACGAUACAUAGCCGACCUGAGAGGGUGAUCGGCCACACUGGGACUGAGACACGGCCCAGACUCCUACGGGAGGCAGCAGUAGGGAAUCUUCGGCAAUGGGGGCAACCCUGACCGAGCAACGCCGCGUGAGUGAAGAAGGUUUUCGGAUCGUAAAGCUCUGUUGUAAGAGAAGAACGAGUGUGAGAGUGGAAAGUUCACACUGUGACGGUAACUUACCAGAAAGGGACGGCUAACUACGUGCCAGCAGCCGCGGUAAUACGUAGGUCCCGAGCGUUAUCCGGAUUUAUUGGGCGUAAAGCGAGCGCAGGCGGUUAGAUAAGUCUGAAGUUAAAGGCUGUGGCUUAACCAUAGUACGCUUUGGAAACUGUUUAACUUGAGUGCAGAAGGGGAGAGUGGAAUUCCAUGUGUAGCGGUGAAAUGCGUAGAUAUAUGGAGGAACACCGGUGGCGAAAGCGGCUCUCUGGUCUGUAACUGACGCUGAGGCUCGAAAGCGUGGGGAGCAAACAGG